rnacentral:rRNA from 1 species
AUUGAACGCUGGCGGCAUGCCUUACACAUGCAAGUCGAACGGUAACAGGUCUUCGGAUGCUGACGAGUGGCGAACGGGUGAGUAAUACAUCGGAACGUGCCUAGUAGUGGGGGAUAACUACUCGAAAGAGUGGCUAAUACCGCAUGAGAUCUACGGAUGAAAGCAGGGGAUCGCAAGACCUUGUGCUACUAGAGCGGCCGAUGGCAGAUUAGGUAGUUGGUGGGAUAAAAGCUUACCAAGCCGACGAUCUGUAGCUGGUCUGAGAGGACGAUCAGCCACACUGGGACCGAGCCACGGCCCAGACUCCUACGGGAGGCAGCAGUGGGGAAUUUUGGACAAGGGGCGCAAGCCUGAUCCAGCAAUGCCGCGUGCAGGAUGAAGGCCUUCGGGUUGUAAACUGCUUUUGUACGGAACGAAAAGCCCUGGGUUAAUACCCUGGGGUCAUGACGGUACCGUAAGAAUAAGCACCGGCUAACUACGUGCCAGCCGCCGCCGUAA